UGGCAAAAGUCAUCUAUUGAUUUUGGAGGGAGACACUGGUGUUUUCAUUCAAACUAGUCCUCAUAGCAAAUACUUCCCAAUGAUGCGCUCACUUUAUUCAAUUUUGUUUUCUCCUUCCCAGAAAUAAAACAUUUCUGAUGCUUAAAUAUAACGACAAAUUCAUCAAAAUCAUGUCUUGAAUGGCCUCUGGGUUCUGAUAUUCCUUCGUUGAUCUGCCCUAUCAAGUAUGACUUAUAUUAUUCUCAUGUGAAAGAUGAGGAAACAGGGCCCAGUGAGUGAAGUUACUUAACUAAGUCCCCAUGGUUGAUACAGAAGACUGUCAUAUGAACCAGUGAGAGUAACUGAAAUCAAAAAAAAGGCUCCAGCAUCUCGGUAAAAACAUGCCACAAGGGACGAGAAGGAGAAGUUUCAACCAGCAGGCCAAGAGACCAGAGACAAGCCAUGUGUGGACAAGGUUGCAGUGUGGGAAAUAUUUAAUUCCCUGUGGUGAUUGUUGACACAUGGAGCUUGUGAAGCACAGAGCCCCAACUUAUGGAUCUUGUGUUAUAAUUUUUCAAAUACUUCACAGCAGCCGCACUAGCCAUACAACUAACACAAAUAAAUUGUUAUAUUUCUAAACUGUUAUACACUUUGUCAAUUAGCAGCUUAGGGUUCCUUCUGAAUUUCUUGGGAAAACCUCCAGAGAGUCAGCAGUUCUCAAGGUGUGAGAUUCAUCUUCUGUAGCUAUUAGGGUCCCCUUGGGAUGCACCCUCUAGUCUAGAACGGGUCACCUGGAACUGAAAGUCUUCUGAGACACAAGAACGGGGAGCAGUUAGGACUGUGAAGGAAGAUGCGGAGAAAACUUCUCUCUGCUCGAGAGAUGAACCAAAUUUAAAGGGGUGAUGAGAACACUGGCAGAAUGAUAUUUUUUCAGUAUAUUUUUUUAUAUUAAGUGAUUUCCCCAUCUGGUAGCUGCUCUUGCCUCUGCCUCCUUCCCAACCCCAUUCGGGCAUCAUUUCUUAUAUCAGGGUAAAAAACCAGUUUCACCAGAGAACAGGAAAAAAAAAGGCUUUUGAUUUUCUUAAGUCAAGACCCGAAGGGCACUUGGCACAGAAACUCUAAGAUGACUUGGAGUGAGGCUUCUAGGCUCUAGUGGAACAUAAAAUUUUCCGGCUGUGCUGGCGGGGAGGGGAGGAGGAGGGAAGGGAAAGCUAAGGGGGAGUGAGGAAGCAGAGAGAGCUCUUAGGUGCUGGUGGGCCCUCUCUCUUCUGAGAAAAAGGCUCUGUGCCCUGCUCCCCAGAGGGGAAGGUGGUGGAUACAGAAAUCCCAGAUGGCUUGGGUUAUCAUCACUUCCCAGCAGGGCCCAACGAGACUGCGAAACUCCAGAACAGAAAGGGCCGAGUGGUUUCUAAGGAACGGAGAGUCUGAGCCAUCCUUAGAGAGCCAUCCCAGCACAGCAUGUGGGCACAGGUUAGGAUGAGUCCUCUGCUCAGAAAUGCCACCAGAGUAGCAACAAAGGACC
rnacentral:lncRNA from 1 species